UCUCUCACUCUCUCUCUCUCUCUCAUUUCUUUUAUUUCGGGAUUCUUGGUCGAGCAAAACAUCUGCUUUCGGUUAGGCUAUCUACUCGACGUGUAUGAGCCAAAGCUCGGUGAUCCCGCCCGUUCAUACGCUGCAACCCACUUUAGAUUGGCAAUGCUUUGGGAUUCUUCUCUGUCAGCUGCUGAUUUUAAGUUACCCACUGGUCGCAUACGAUUGGGGGGUGUAGUCAACAAUCCACACUCUAUGGGAAGAAAAUCGACUCAUUUCUCAUUUUCGAGGGCAUGACCCAUCCGUUUUGGCCCCUCCAGAUGAGCAGCCUUGAUAACAGAAGAUUCAGCCUGCUUGCUUCGUCAACCACUGCUAUCCAUGAGGUGGAAGGCGCUACCUUGACAGAGGCCAGGUGCCAGGUGAGUGCUGCCACAAAGUGGGUUACAACUGACGUGGGUUGUGGAGUGUGGUAGUUUGUUACAAUCCCUAAUGAUUUAAGGGCCUAGCUUGACGUGUUCCAUCAGUGGUCAUCGGGCAUCCAAUUUCAACAAGUUGUUUUUGGGCUACUAAAUGUCAGUAAUGGUUAUAUAAUACCUUUCCAAAUGAUCUGGAUGGAAGACAAGAUUAGCACUUUAAUGCAAGAAAUUGUAUGGCACAUUGGUGCUUUCCCUGAAAUACAUGUAUUGGUUCUUAUUUAAUCAGUAAGAUGCUUGUUUAUAUAGAAUUUUAUGAUCCUCAACCCAAGGA